rnacentral:rRNA from 1 species
GCAGCGGGGGUAGCGAUACCCGCCGGCGACCGGCGCACGGGUGAGUAACGCGUAUGCAACUUACCUAUCGGAGGGGGAUAACCCGGCGAAAGUCGGACUAAUACCGCAUAAAGCAGGGGCCCCGCAUGGGGAUAUUUGCUAAAGAUUCAUCGCUGAUAGAUAGGCAUGCGUUCCAUUAGGCAGUUGGCGGGGUAACGGCCCACCAAACCGACGAUGGAUAGGGGUUCUGAGAGGAAGGUCCCCCACAUUGGUACUGAGACACGGACCAAACUCCUACGGGAGGCAGCAGUGAGGAAUAUUGGUCAAUGGGCGUAAGCCUGAACCAGCCAAGUCGCGUGAGGGAUGAAGGUUCUAUGGAUCGUAAACCUCUUUUAUAAGGGAAUAAAGUGCGGGACGUGUCCCGUUUUGUAUGUACCUUAUGAAUAAGGAUCGGCUAACUCCGUGCCAGCAGCCGCGGUAAUACGGAGGAUCCGAGCGUUAUCCGGAUUUAUUGGGUUUAAAGGGUGCGUAGGCGGCCUUUUAAGUCAGCGGUGAAAGUCUGUGGCUCAACCAUAGAAUUGCCGUUGAAACUGGGGGGCUUGA